AAGAAUCAAACCCACAGAGAAGCAACAGAGGGAAAUCAACAAAGGGAGAUAUUGCAAGGGAAAAAAUGGGCAAAGAUGUAGCAAAAUGUUCACUGAGCCACAGCCUGCUGAAAGAUUCACUUGCUGUCUUCAUAAGUUGAAAAGCUCCUGGUACACAGCUCUUUGUCCUCAUGUGACACUUUUCCUGGACACUGGAGUUCAACUCAUGCACAAGAUACUGAAGAAGAUGAAAUGGAAGCAACCAGAAGGAAAUUGAUCACAUGAAAACAUGCUCAUAAUCAUAGAGCUGGUUUCCACUGCUGAACAAAACUUUUCAUAUUGACUAUGAGUCUCCCUGUUUGAACAUCUUCAUAUCCAGCAACAAGAUAUUUUAGGCCUGCAAAUAAAAUAUACAGGUGCAAGAAAAAUCUUUGCUCCUACGGGCUGCUAUAUUUUCUAAAAUUGCUAUUUGCAAAAUACUAUCACAUAGUUGCGACAACAGUGGUAUUUGUAUCUCUCUUGAAAUAAAACA